CAAUAGCGUAUAUUAAAGUUGUUGCAGUUAAAAAGCUCGUAGUUGGAUUUGUGGCGUACGGUGUGUUCCGGGCACUUGUUGUCUGAGUAACCUGCUGUUGCCAUCCUUGGGUGGAACCUGUGUGGCAUUAGGUUGUCGUGCAGGGGAUGCCCAUCAUUUACUGUGAAAAAAUUAGAGUGUUCAAAGCAGGCUUAUGCCGUUGAAUAUAUUAGAAUGGAAUAAUGAGAUAGGACUUUUUUGCUAUUUUGUUGGUUUGCGCAAAGAGGUAAUGAUUAAUAGGGACAGUUGGGGGUAUUCGUAUUCCAUUGUCAGAGGUGAAAUUCUUGGAUUUUUGGAAGACGAACUACUGCGAAAGCAUUUACCAAGGAUGUUUUCAUUAA
rnacentral:rRNA from 1 species